GAUGAACGCUGGCGGCGUGCUUAACACAUGCAAGUCGAACGGUGAACACGGAGCUUGCUCUGUGGGAUCAGUGGCGAACGGGUGAGUAACACGUGAGCAACCUGCCCCUGACUCUGGGAUAAGCGCUGGAAACGGCGUCUAAUACUGGAUAUGUGACGUGACCGCAUGGUCUGCGUUUGGAAAGAUUUUUCGGUUGGGGAUGGGCUCGCGGCCUAUCAGCUUGUUGGUGAGGUAAUGGCUCACCAAGGCGUCGACGGGUAGCCGGCCUGAGAGGGUGACCGGCCACACUGGGACUGAGACACGGCCCAGACUCCUACGGGAGGCAGCAGUGGGGAAUAUUGCACAAUGGGCGCAAGCCUGAUGCAGCAACGCCGCGUGAGGGAUGACGGCCUUCGGGUUGUAAACCUCUUUUAGCAGGGAAGAAGCGAAAGUGACGGUACCUGCAGAAAAAGCGCCGGCUAACUACGUGCCAGCAGCCGCAGUAAAAC
rnacentral:rRNA from 1 species